rfam:Parcubacteria bacterium RAAC4_OD1_1 O210_OD1C00001, whole genome shotgun sequence.
CCUAAUAGGAAAUUUAAGAGUAUAUGGUGGAUGCCUAGACUAAAAAAGGCGAUGAAAGACGUAGCAUGGCGACGAUAUGCUUCGGGGAGGUGCCUAGCAACCUUCGAUCCGGAGAUUUCUGAAUGGGGAAACCCUUCCGAGCAAACCUCGGAAACUUCUACACUAGAUGUAGUUGUGCAUACCCAGGGAAGUAAAACAUUUCAGUACCUGGUGGAAAAGAAAACGAAGUUUAUUUCCUUAGUAGCGGCGAGCGAAGAGGAAAGAGCCCAAACCGAGUGUCGCAAGACACGAGGGGUUGUAAGAUGGUAAUGUAGAUUUAUCUAGAAGAGUUACAAAAUUUGUUAUUAGAUUAAGUUUCUGGAAAGAAACACCACAGAAGGUGAUAGUCCUGUGAUCGAAAAUAACAGAUCUCUUUGAUUACUAUUCUUGAGUAGCUCAGGACAUGAAUAGCUUGAGCGAAUCCGGGAGAACUAACUCCCAAGGCUAAAUACUUUUUUAGAUCGAUAGUGAACUAGUACCGUGAGGGAAAGGUGAAAAGAACCCCGAUGAGGGGAGUGAAAUAGAUCCUGAAACCGUAUACUUACAAGGAGUCAGAGCCGUACCUUGCUCAUUGCUUCGCAGUAAAUUUUGAAUUGACCUUAAGAUGGAUUCGUCUGUUUUUUGAGCCGUGAAGAAAUUUAGUACGAAGUAGCGAGCAGGGGACGGUCAUGGCGUGCCUAUUGAAGAAUGAGCCAACGAGUUUAUCUACGCUGCAGGCUAAGCUGUUAGAACAGUGGAGCCUUAGGGAAACCGAGUGUUAAUAGCGCGAAAUUAUUGUAGUUUAGAUAAGACCCGAAGCAAGGUGAGCUUGCCAUAAGCAGGAUGAAGUUUGUCGAAAGACAGAUGGAGGUCCGAACCGGUGACCCGUGCAAUAGUCUCGGAUGACUUGUGGUAAGGAGUGAAAAGCUAAUCGAACCUUGUAAUAGCUGGUUCUCUCCGAAAUAGCUUUAGGGCUAGCGUCGUGUGUUCCUCUUGGGGGUAGAGCACUGGAAGGUUUCGACAGGGAGCAAUCUCGCGAAAUCUAUCAAACUCCGAAUACCAAGAGUCAUAAUACGGCAGUUAGGCUAUGGGGGCGAAGCUCCAUUAGCCAAAAGGAAAACAGUCCAGAUCUCUAAUUAAGGUCCCUAAAUUUACGUUAAGUGCAAAACAAGGAGGUGAAAUUUCUCCGACAAUGAGGAUGUUGGCUUAGAAGCAGCCAUCAUUUAAAGAAAGCGUAACAGCUCACUCAUCAAGAGAUAUCGCACCGAAAAUAAUCGGGGCUAAACGUAAUACCGAAAUUGAGGACUUUCGUUUUAUUUAUAAAGUGAGAGUGGUAGGAGAGUAUUCUACACCGCAUCGAAGCCAAAGGGGUGACCCAUGGUGGAGCGUGUAGAAGUAAGAAUGUUGGCACAAGUAACCGCAAGGAAGGUGAGAUCCCUUCCCGCCGAAAGAUUAAGGUUUCCUGGGCAAUGGUGAUCAUCCCAGGGUUAGUCGGUCCUAAGGAGAUGGCGAUAGCCGAAUCCGAUGGACAUAGGGUUAAUAUUCCCUAACUUUUAUUUAAUUCGAUGAUAGGACGGAGUGUAGUAUAUGAAGCUCAUUAUUGGAUUUGAGUAUUUUAGUGAGAAUGGUUUCUAGGAAAAUCCGGAAACUGACGUAAAAGUAACAUUCAAGCGAAGAUUAAAUGUGUGGGUUCGCUCAUGCAGAUUUCAUAAAGCACGCUUCCAAGAAAAGUAUCUAAGGUUAAUUAAAUAAAAUCCGUACCGUAAACCGACACAGGUAAUCAGGUCGAGUAGACCAAGGCGAACGAGUGAGAGGUCUUCAAGGAACUCGGCAAAAUAGCAGCCGUAACUUUGGAAUAAGGCUUGCCUUUUAACUUCGGUUAAGGGGCCGCAGCUAAAGAAUCCCUGGCAACUGUUUAUCAAAAACACAGCUCCCUGCGAACACGUAAGUGGAUGUAUAGGGGGUGACACCUGACCAAUGCGAGAAGGUCAAAUAUCGAUGGUGUGUGCAUCACAUUGUAUGUGAUGUAAUUCUAAAAUUGCCAAAAUUAAUUAGUAAUUAUUAUCAUGUAUAGCGUGAUGUAUAUGCUGGUUGAUAUAAGCCCUCGUGAAUGUCGGCCGUAACUAUAACGGUCCUAAGGUAGCGAAGUACCUUGUCGGGUAAAUUCCGACGCGCACGAAUGGUGUAAUGACUGGGGAACUGUCUCGAAGACUUGCUCGGUGAAAAUACAAUACCGGUGAAGAUGCCGGUUACCUGCAGAUAGACGAAAAGACCCUAGAAGCUUUACUGCAGCUUGAUAUUGAGUAUACGAUUACUUUACGUAGCAUAGAUGGGAGAGGUUUGAUGGAAACGAUUUCGGUUGUUUUCUACUCGUCAGUGAAAUACCAUUUUUUGUGAUUGUAUAUUCUAAUUUCUAAGGCAAAAACUUAGAGAGACAGUAUCUGGUGGGUAGUUUUACUGGGGCGGUAUCCUCCUAAAGAGUAACGGAGGAGUUUAAAGGUCAGCUAGGCGCGAAUGGAAACCGUGCCGAUAGUGUAAUGGCACAAGCUGGCUUAACUGUAAGACGUACUUGUCGAGCAGAUACGAAAGUAGAACAUAGUGAACCGACAAUUCGCAUUAGAUGCGGUUGAAGAUUAACGGAUAAAAGCUACUCUAGGGAUAACAGGCUAGUUCCGCCUAAGAGUUCAUAUCGACGGCGGAGUUCGGCACCUCGAUGUCGGCUCACCUUAUCCUCCUGGUGGAGAAGCUGGGAAGGGUUUAGCUGUUCGCUAAUUAAAAAGGUACGCGAGCUGGGUUCAAACCGUUGAGAAUUUUAGUUUCUAGAAUUUUCGACAGUUUGAACCGUUGAGGUUAAAACAAAUUUAAUUUGUUUAUGUUUAAAUCUGAGAUUAAGACCAUGAUACAUAGUAAUGUAUUCACGGCGGCAUAAUGUAGAGAUAUAUUAUGACAAGUUCACUUAUAUCGGUAAAAUCCAGAACGGACAAUACCGAGGGAAGCGAAAGCACCCGUAGAGACUGAAUGUGAACUAUCCAAUUAUUUGGAUAAAGUUACAGUCCAAUCCCCAUAGGAAUAUGGGAAAAUAUCCUAAAACAUUUUGAUUACAAAAUGUUCGGACACGUAGAUGCGUGAGACAGGUUGGUCUCCUAUCUACUGCAGGCGUUGAUUCUUGAGAAGAUCUGCUCUUAGUACGAGAGGACCGGAGUGGACUGACCGCUGGUGUGUGGGCUCUAUUGCCAAAUGGACUGCCCAGUAGCUACGUCGGGAAUGGAUAAGUUCUGAAAGCAUCUAAGAACGAAGCCAGCUUCAAGAUGAGGAAUCGUUUGAGAAACCUAAGAGAUGAUUAGGUUGAUAGGCACUAGGUGUACGCACAGUAAUGUGUUGAGCCGAGGUGUACUAAUCGUUCGAUUUCUAUUAGGAA